rnacentral:rRNA from 1 species
CCUACGGGUGGCAGCAGUAGGGAAUAUUGCUCAAUGGGGGAAACCCUGAAGCAGCAACGCCGCGUGGAGGAUGAAGGUUUUAGGAUUGUAAACUCCUUUUGUGAGAGAAGAUAAUGACGGUAUCCCACGAAUAAGCACCGGCUAACUCCGUGCCAGCAGCAGCGGUCAUACGGAGGGUGCAAGCGUUACUCGGAAUCACUGGGCGUCAAGAGUGCGCAGGCGGGCUUGUAAGUCAGGUGUGAAAUCCUUUAGCUUAAAUACAGAACUGCAUUUGAAACUAUGAGUCUAGAGAGUGGGAGAGGUAGGUGGAAUGCUUGGUGUAGGGGUAAAAUCCGUAGAUAUCAAGAGGAAUACUCAUUGCGAAGGCGACCUACUGGAACAGUACUGACGCUCAUGCACGAAAGCGUGGGGAGCAAACAGGAUUAGAUACCCGAGUAGUC